rnacentral:snoRNA from 1 species
ACAGAAUUUAAAUAGAACAUAAGAAAAAAUAUUUGAUGGUGUGCUAGAGUUCUCGGAGAGAAUCUGCUGGUCUUGAUUCACUGGCGUGGGCAGUAAGUGCCCCCGGUAGUGCCCAGAUCAGAAACAUAG